rnacentral:rRNA from 1 species
AUACGUAGGUGGCAAGCGUUGUCCGGAAUUAUUGGGCGUAAAGCGCGCGCAGGCGGUCCUUUAAGUCUGAUGUGAAAGCCCACGGCUCAACCGUGGAGGGUCAUUGGAAACUGGGGGACUUGAGUGCAGAAGAGGAAAGUGGAAUUCCAAGUGUAGCGGUGAAAUGCGUAGAGAUUUGGAGGAACACCAGUGGCGAAGGCGACUUUCUGGUCGGUAACGGACGCUGAGGCGCGAAAGCGUGGGGAGCAAACAGGAUUAGAUACCCUGGUAGUCCACGCCGUAAACGAUGAGUGCUAAGUGUUAGGGGGUUUCCGCCCCUUAGUGCUGCAGCUAACGCACUAAGCACUCCGCCUGGGGAGUACGGUCGCAAGACUGAAACUCAAAUGAAUUGACGGGG